rnacentral:rRNA from 1 species
GAUGAACGCUGACAGCAUGCUUAACACAUGCAAGUCAACCUGACUUUCGGUAUUUAUCUUUGGCUUGGGUUGCGGACGGGCGAGUAACGCGUAAAUAACUAGCCUCACAGUUAGAGACAACAUUUGUCAACGAAUGCUAAUACCUAAUAUUAUGUUAAUAGGACAUCAUAUAUUUAUGAAAGCUAUCAGCGUUGUGAGAGAGCUUUGCGUCGCACUAGCUAGUUGGAAAGGUAAAGGCUCACAAAGGCGACGAUGGGUAGCCGGCCUGAGAGGGUGAUCGGCCACACUGGAAGUGAGAAAGGGUCCAGACAGCUACGGGAGGAAGCAGUAGGGAAUCUUCCGGAAGGGGGGAAAGCCUGACGGAGCAAAGCGGCGUGAGUGAUGAAGGUCUUCGGAUCGUAAAAAUAUGUUAUUAGGGAAGAAAAUAUGUGUAAGUAACUGUGCACAUAUUGACGGUACCUAAUAAGAAAGCCACGGCUAACUACGUG